UACAGAGGUCUCGAGCGUUGUUCGGAUUCAUUGGGCGUAAAGGGCGCGUAGGCGGCGGGGUAAGUCGGGUGUGAAAUCUCGGGGCUUAACUCCGAAACUGCAUUCGAUACUGCCGUGCUUGAGGACUGGAGAGGAGACUGGAAUUUACGGUGUAGCGGUGAAAUGCGUAGAUAUCGUAAGGAAGACCAGUGGCGAAGGCGGGUCUCUGGACAGUUCCUGACGCUGAGGCACGAAGGUCAGGGGAGCAAACGGG
rnacentral:rRNA from 1 species